rnacentral:lncRNA from 1 species
UCUUUCUCGCACCAAACUCUGCUUCGCUGUCGCUGUUCUCCCCCUCUACAAACUUCAAGGUAUGCUUAUAAACUCUCAUAUUCUUCUGCUUUCCCCCUUUCUUUAUGUCUCCUCCCAUUCCCCUUCCCAUUUAGUAUCCUCCUCUACCAUUACUCUCUAAUAUGCCUAAAUUCCCAAAACCCUAAAAAGUUAUUGGAAAAUGAAAAUAUGGGUGUUGCUAGAUUCUUUUCGCUUGUAAAUUUUGUGCAAAUUCUUGUUUUGGGUGUAAAUUUUGUGCAAAUUCUUAUUUUGUAAAAUUGACAGCAUUCAGGUAAAAGAAAAUUAUUGGGUAUUAGAAAGGUUUCAGUUGGUACAAUCAAUUUUGAGUUCUCUUGAUGUCAUCUUCUUCUCUUCAUUUUGUUGUUCAAAUGAAGGCAGUAUAAAGAGUUCUAUUUGCAAAUAAUAAAGAUUUAGUUUUUUUUUCUUUUUUAUGCUUUGCCCUUUAAAAAAUGAUUUGUAAAUUUAGGAGUUGUAACAUGGUAAUGAAACAAAUUUAAGAGAGUUGUAUCAUUUUACAUUAUUAUCCGUAAAAAGAGAUUUAAAAUAGUACUUUGCAGGAGAGUUGACUUUAAAAUUUUGAAUGGCUUCACAAGACUUUUCUUAAUUGUUCUUAUGUGUAUCUAAUGCAUUUUUACAUGUAAAGUAUGAGGGAACUCUCGGUCUUCAUACUCCAUAUUCUUUCCCAAACAAAAAUCUUGUUUCUUCGACCUCACUUUUAGGCCUCAAUCUGCAUUUUCAUCAAAAUCAUGAAUUUUAAAGUGGGAAAAAAAUCAGGCAGAUUAUUGUUAUGAUAUGACAAAAAUGUUAUUGUUGUGAUAUUUGUCAUUGUAAUGAUAUGGCAAAAAUGUGUUAUGACGCAGAAAACAUUACCACAUUCAAUGGAAUUGUCCUAAAUAAUGACUGAAAAUUCUUCUACAAAUUCAACAUAAAUAACAUACAUCUGGCAAAGCUAACAAAUACCAUAGAGCAAAUAACUCAAUCCUAAAUCUAAUAUUUAAGUACCUUUGUUCUUCAACAACAUCAGUGUAUAUCUGGUAGUUAGAAAAGGACGAUUUAAAGUCCUUCAUAUUUCUAAUGCUACUGAAAUUGCUAAACUACCAUUGUCUGUGACGCCCCAAAAUAGGUCCAAUCCACUCAACCCAUUCUGAGUCGCCAAAUACAUGGUACAGAAACAACUAUAACUUCAUUAAUAUAAUUGUCGCACAAAAUAUGACAACACAUAAACUGUGGAUACCAACUGUGACUCUCAUCCCUUUACUUGGAUAGCACCUCACAUUGAUAUCUUAUAAUGGUACCUUACAUAAAGGUAAGGUCAAUAACUGUUUUAGAAAUUAAAAUAUUUGAAAAAUGCUCAAGGAAACCUUCGUACAUGGGAGACCAUGCAUCUAAGUUGUAAUAGAUAUCAUAUGACUCGAGAAUUAUCCUUGGUUGACCCAAUAGACCCCAAAGAAAAACGAGAAGAUUACUAUCAUAUUCUUCCCAAUGGUGAGUCUUCUCUUGACAUAUCAUUAUCUCCACUGUCUCUAAUUGAGAAUUAUACUUCAAACAAACACCAAGAUUAUAUAGGUAGUGCUCGUAGAUAUACUCAGCAAGUGGAUGAGCACAACCCUGUCUUAUGAUGACACGAGGUUGUAUGUCAUUAGACAUCUUGUAUGAUAGUGGCAAAACACCCUUCCAACGUUGGGUUCGCCUCACCCUAUUUGAUUCACCAAAUAUAACUACUAAAUGAUGACCACCGUUCUAUUCCCCUGUUACCCCCGCUCGACCCAGCUACACUCUUAUUACCUGAAAGGAAUUGUGAAGCAAAAGGGUGAGCACAACUAGCUCAGUAAAGAAUAUCAUGACUAAAGAUAAUUAAAUUAUCAAUAGCCUUCAUCAAUAAUAAAUCAGAGAUUUAGAACAUAUGGUAGAUGAAAAAAAAAUUUCAACCAUAGUUGCAGCGGAACGAGCAAUCCAUUAGAAGAGUCAAAUAGACUAUAAAGUCUAUUAUCUUCUCCAUGUUAAAAGUCCACCAACAAUGUUUUAUCCCUGUAACAUCAAUCAACAAUUCCUGUCCACAAUCACAUGUAUAACUCAUAAUCGUAAUUGUUGUUCUAAAUUCCUUUUCUCAUUCAGGACGAAGAUAAUUUUCAUCACUUGUCUUUACCUGAAAUAUCAAAGAUCAUGGUUAUACCAAAUCACAGUUCCUGUUCAUAAUCAUACUAAUAAAUUCAUCUUUGCACUACGGGCCAAAGAUAUUCAUCAACAGUUCAUCUUUGCACUACAGGCCAAAGAUAUUCAACAACAGGUCAUCUUUGCACUACGGGCCAAAGAUAUUCAUCAACAAUUCAUCUUUGCACUACAGGCCAAAGAUAUUAAUAUCUCAAAGAAAUAUAUAAUCAUUUCAGAAUUUAUAUAAACAAUAAUUAUAACCAUGUUGAUCAAUUCACCUUUGCACUUAAGCUAAAGAUAUUCAAUUAUAAAUUCAAUGAUCAUGAUCAUAUCAAUCAACAAUUCAUCUUUGCACUACUGGCCAAAGAGAACCCAUAGUCACGAUCAUACCAAUAAUAUACCCAUCUUUACACUCAAGUGAGAGAAAUUUUAUCACCAGGGUUAUAAAAAUGUUAUAUAUGAUAAUAAAAACAAUAUGAUCAAAACAUGUAUUUAAUUUCAAGAGUAAGAUUCAUAAAUCAAUGAUAUUUUGGUCAGAAAAAGAAACCAAUUUUGUCGUGAAUAGUAACCCGUGAAUAGUAACUCGUGAAUAGUAACUCGUGAAUAGUAACUCGUGAAUAGUACCUCGUAUUCGUACAUAGUACCGUAUACAUAAAUAGUGAUGUAUACGUAAAUAGUGCCAUAUACAUGAAUAGUGCCGUAUACGUGAAUAGUAACUCCGACACGAAAAGGUAAAAAUUUCCCAAUGAAAUUCAUACCAAUAUUUCGGUAUAAUGAUAUUGAAAGAAAUAAUAUUAUUUACGAAGAAAAUAACAUCUUUUACCAUCCCUUACCUCAAAAGAAUAUCACUUCUGACUGAAAUAUUGGAUAUAAUGCUGAAGAAAACUUGCACUGAAUAACAAUUCUCAAAGUAUCUAAUUACUCACAAAAAUAUGCUCGAUAUUAUAGAGAGAAAACUUCAGAUUCUGGUGUAAUUUUCAAUUCUAACUAAACACCCUAUUUAUAGGAAAAUGCUAGAACGCCAAAGCAGAAUAAAUUAAUAAAAUAUUAAUUUUUUCAAAACUUUUUACGCACACCUUUUUGACCAAAAUUCAGCCACCAUCAGUGGGGCCCACCAAAAUUCAGAUUUUCCACACCAACCAAAAGUGGGGCCCACCCAUGUUUUUAAUAAAAAUAUUUAUUUCUGAAAUUUCAAUAAUUCAUAAUAAAUAGCCCUUUUAUCAAAAAAAUACGAAUUUUAUGUCCAUUCCAUAAGAAAUUAAAUUCUCUACAACUUUGCAGAAGAAAGUUUUUUUAAAUUCCAAACAGAAAAUGCCCGAAAUUCACAUAUGGACGAUCUUUAAUACACCCCCUUCUGACAAAAUACUAAUAAAACACCUCAGCAUUAAUUCCUUCAUUUAUAUCCACAUAAAAUAAAUAUUUUCUUAUCAUAUAAAUCAAUAAUUAAUUAUUCACAAACAAUAUUAAAGAAUCACAAUUAUGACAACCAGGUCGUUCUCAAGAAAGAGAGGGCUUUCCGAUAAGGAUUUCUCCUUGGCGCAUAAUUAGGUGAUCAAACCCCUUUCCUAGACAGAACUUCCUUAGACAUUGUCAAUAAUGCUAUCUAAUUUUAUUCAAAUAAUAUGAAUUAUUGAUCUGAUAAUGGAAAAUACUGUGCAGUGAUAAUUAUUGAAACAACAAUAAUAUAAAUUAUAAACGUAGCAAUUAUUGAAUCAAUAAAAUAAAAUAUUGAACAAUAAUUACUGUUGGUUGAUUUCACAAUCAAUAAAUUUGUGCAAGUGUACACAGUCAACAAGUAAUAAAGUGAUAAGAUAGAGUUUUGAUCCCACAGAGAAUUCUAAUCAAUAAAUUCCAACUACUAGCACUAUAUCAAUCCAAUUUUAUUUAAACAACCAUAAAGUGUGAUUUUUCAAAAUAAGAAAAACUAAAUUAAACAAUUAAAAAGAGAUUACUCUAAAAUAAAUCAAACAAACAAAAUUAAGAUUUUAACGAAUGAAUUCAGAUAAAUAAAGAUUAAGACUCCAAUAUCCUCAAUUAUGAACUAUAAAUCAAUUAUUCAAUUAUCCCAAUUAUUAUGCCUACUAAAUUGUUAACAGGAAUUCUUCAAUGUCAAAAGCCCUUUUCUAAGUGAUCAAUUAACUUCUAUUAAAUCCAAUUAAUCUUGCUAUAUUCCUAUGCAAAAUAAUUAAAUUAAACUCUUUCAAUCCCAAUUCCUAACUUGUUACAUGCAGUGAACAGAUAUUUUCAUUCAAUUCACGACCCUAAUUAUUCGUCAUGCAAAUAAUUAAGAAUACAUGUUAUCAUGCCCAUUUCUAACCCUAGAUCUCCUAUUCCAAUUCCUUCUAGAGUAACAAGGUAAUUAUUGGCCAAAUAAUUAAUCAAUAAGCAUAAGAUAAGAUAAAUAAUUCACUUCGACAUAAAUAAUUGGAAUAAAUUGAAUAACUAAUUUAUAGACAUAAAAGGUUUAAUUGAAAUCUUAAUGAAAGAAUUAGUUCAUGAUAGAAUUUAAAACCAACAAUUCUUUAAAAAUCAUCCUUAAGGAAUUACACCAAUUGAAAAAUAGGAGAAGAAGAAAACUCUAGAGCCAAUCCUUCAAUCUUUAAGUAAUCCUUUACUUAGUCUUCAAUUGUACUAGUUCCCCCUUUUAAUUCAGCACAGUAAACUUUAUAUACUAUUCACAUUGCACCAUAAUCCUUUCUCAAAUCAACCUCUCAAUUAAGCCACAAAUCCAAGUCAACUCGUUGGUCAACACGCGCGUCUUUGGUCAACUGAUGCCGGGCUUCAGCGCCCCGGCGCUGUGGAAUGAACUAGCUAGAGCGCCCCGGCGCUGAGCUUCAAAAUAAUUGCGAAAAUGCCAUUCACAGCUCAAAUUCCCAAUUUGCCCCUGUGUCUCCUGAAUCUGCAAAAUAACAACAAAUCACAAUAAAAAUUCUACUAAACGACUUGAGGAUACAAUAAUUUAAGCUCGAUUAUAUUCAAUUCAUGGGUAUAUUACCCAAUCAUCAAAUACCCCAAAACUUAAAUCGUUGCGUGUCCUCAAGUAACAAAACACAAAACACUACGAAAAACUAAACAACCAUACAAAUGCACCUAAAACUUUCUACAUGUUCGUAAUUCCAGCAAUCAAAUAGCACACCGUAUAUUCAUUAGGCCUCAGAAAAAUCAUAAAACAUGCUAAUACCUCAUAUUAAGACAGAUCAAUAAUAUCCCAACAAUCAAUAAAUCUAAAUCUAUAAUUACUGAUAUCGUGUGUGUGUGUUCAACGACCAUGCUAACCAUUGAAAAACAAAAUAUGAAAGAUAGUAGAUUUCUUAGAAGGCAUCAUACAGUGUAAACUCGAGAACUCCUCAAAUAAACUUGAUUCGGCUAAAAUCAAACAAUUACCAAAGUUCAAGGGUCAAAAUAGAAUACUUAUGCUUUUUUUCUUUUUUUUAACGGGGUUUUUUUGCACUUUUUCCGCUUUAUUUUUAUUUUAUUAUUAUUAUUAUUAUUUUCCUCAUGACUAUGCAUUGUCCUAUUCCCUUAAGCUUUUCAGUGCUACCUUAACGAGUUUUCGACCAACGACUCUCAAGCCAUUAAGACCUUAGGGCGCUAGGUGUAAAGACAAUCCCCUCGGGCUUACUUACUCAAGUAGCAAAGGCCACAAAACUAGACAAGUAUGCCACGGUGUUUAUUUAUUUAUUUUUUUUCAAAGCUUAUAUACUCCAAAUAUUUUUCCCCCAAACUUGAGUUUAUGUCUAAAUUUAGUCAUCACUAGCUAUUCAAAUUGUUCAUUCAUUUCACUAGCAUUCAUCCUUUAGAACUUUAUUAUCUAUCCAUUUAAACUUUCUUAGCCAACAUGGUCAUUUUGCAAAACGUGCUAUCUUGAUAAUAUCAGUGUCAAGCAGAUAAAGAUUUCAAUUAUGUCAAGAAAAUCAUAUCACUAGCUUACCAAUCCUUACUAGACUUAUUCAUGCAAUUUUAAUUUCAUCAUUGGCCCCAAACAUACGUAACUAUUAAACAACUGGAAUUAAUAUGCAAUCCUAGAUGCAACUCUUAAUCAACAAUAAAAACUCAAAUUAUCCACAAAUUACUACAAUCUACAAAUGCAAAUAAAAAUUAACUACCCCCAAACUUAUCAAGAACAAUGUCCUCAUGCGAAAAAUAUAGCAAUAAAAAUAAUAGGGGACUUCCCUGACGAGCUCAUUCCUCAGGUGCAACAUCAUCAUCCUCGCUCAUCUAUUGAUCAGAAGGGGGAAACACAAGCAGAACAGGAGCAGUAGGGAACUGGUUAAGAUUAACUCUCGGGUACAGUUGAGCGUGCAUGGAAUUCUGGGCAGCAAAUUGGUCGACCAAAUAUUUGUAGAUGACAUCUUGUCGUUCAGACAGACGGACAUUUUGGGAUUCGAGAUUAUAGAACCACCCGUCAAUUUUGCGCUGGACAACCUCAGGGACAACACCACGGUGAGCUGCGGAGGAAGGACCAUAUGUGGGUGGGGUUGAAGGUUGUGAAGCUUGAGGAGCUUCAACUUGGGGAAUUAUAAAACCCAAUCCCCUAGGGUGGUUCUCCCCCCCUGUCCACACUUUAUACCUGCUGAUCAAUUUAUGGUCCAACACGGGCAUUGGUAGCUGAAUCAUCUCAUCCGAUUUUCAUUCUUCCCCAAACUUGGUACAUAAAACGCAAAUGAGAGACGGAUGGGGUAACCCUCCUGUGGUCCCUCGACGUGACGCUCGGAGAAUGGACUGCUGAAUAAGGUGGUCGACAUCAAUUUUUAAGCCUUGAAUUAUGGAAUAUAGCAGCACCGCCCGCUCCUUGGUGACAUGGCUCACAUGUGUGCAUGGCAUCAGUUUAGCGCAUAAAAAUGCAUACCAAGCCUUCCCAUAUAAGCUGAGGUGCGACAGAGGAAAUGUCAUACUACCUCGUUCAUGCAUGGUCCAUGUGGUGCCCAGUUGACAAAGCUCACGGAUAAUUGCUUCAUAAUCAGGGCCUUGACUCACAAGAUUAGCAUACUCGUCGUUGUGUCCCUCUAAUGGCAGUUGAUAGCACCCGUUAAUGUCUUCUUCGCCAAAUUCGACUGUCUUGCCUCUCACAUACACCCCAUAGUGGUAGUGCUCGGGAACGUUGGCGUAGAACUCUUUGACGACUGCAAUCACUGCUGGAUCGGGUUGUUCGGUGAGUGAGAACCAAUUUCGCUCAGCUAUCAUGACCGCUAUGUCCCCGUCUUUGGAUUGAUAGGGCCUUAAACCUCGUUCGGGAAUGAGAAAGCGGGUGGCCAUCUUGUUGUAGCAUUCCAAUGCCUCGACGCUGACAAACCUUCGAUUAUCAAAUUUUGUAGAGCUGAGGUGGUUCCGGAACCUUCACCACGUUGACGCUUCGAUGCCAUUGAGAUAAAUCUGCACAGAAAUCGCAAUCAAACAGAUUAAAAUUGGACAUAAAUCUAGUAUGAACAUAUGUACCCAUAGCACUACCCCCAAACUUCAAAAUAAGUGCACAUUUGGAAACAUAGUUAGGGGUGUGGUGAGACAUAAUAGCAUGAAAAUACAAAAUUGGCUAAGUAAGCUCAUUUUUCAUUCACAACGCACAAUUUUCCAAAGCUACACAAGUUACGCUCAAAAGAUAUGACAUGUAAAUCAAUAUGACCCCACGUAUGCAUCGAUACAGUUUAGCCCCCUCAAUAUUGAUAUAUAUGUGUGAUAGUAGACCUACGGUAUUAGGGUGGCAAGAUGGCAAGUAAAUUCAGUGUGUGGGUAUGGUGUUGUGUGGUAUUAGCAAAGACAAUUGACUCAGGCAUAAUCUCAAACACUUUGUGGGCAUUUUACAAAUCUCCUUGAACAUCCCUAUUAGCAUAGCAAUCCAAACUUUAAUCACUCCAACAUCAUUGACACAUAUAUAUGCAUAUUAAUCAACAGUAUUUCACACAUGCAAAAAGAAUUUAGCCACAUGAAGGACGAUAAUAUGCAAUCUUAGUCAUGAGAGAGAUGAAUCAAGGUCAAUAUUAACACACCAGGUUGCAUUUACCAGUCUGCAAUUGAGAUUGGAUGGAACAGAGAUUUGGAAAUUAAAACAGUACAUACCUUGGAGAUGGAUAUAACAGACAAAAUUACUUAUCACGAUGAUGAACGAAUGUCAGAUGUGGAACAACUUCAAAGAUUAAUCAGGUAUAUAAAUAAGAAUUGGGAAAGCAGUUACGAGAGGAGAAAGAAUAGGGUGAUAUGAAAGUGGAACGUGGGUAGUAAUUGAGUGUGAGGAAAAGAGAACCGAACAGACUUUUAAAUCAAGUUGGAAUUUCAAACCUGGGGCCAGCGCCGGGGCGCUGGCAUUUAUAUUGUCCAGAGCGCCGGGGCGCUUGAAGUCAAUAGCUGGAAUGGCCCCCUAGCGCCAGGGCGCUGUGUUUAAACUAGGAUGCAGUGCCGGGGCGCUGAGAUGCAGAAUCUUGAGAACAGCCUAGCGCCGGGGCGCUGAAGGCUAGGAAUUUAUGGGCGUCGGGGCGCUGAAGGUAUGCAUCAUGUUUUGUGGUCAAGCGCCGGGGCGCUGACUUCAUGUUUAUAACGAGCGCUGGGGCGCUGAUUACCAUCCAUGUAAUCCUUUGCUCAAUAUACAGCUUUCCUAGAAGCAAGAAAUCCAUGAAUAAUGUUAUGCUUGAGUAUUGACUAUCAACUAACAAUAAUAAUGAAGUAAAAUAAAAAUAACAAAUAUUUUGAAUGAAGUAAAACAAAAUAAACUAAAACUCUUUGGGUUGCCUCCCAUUAGCGCUUGGUUUAUAGUCGUCAGCCCGACUUUUCUAUGUUGCUCAAUUGUCUACUGGUUCAGAGAGGUACAUGGCCGUAAAUUGGCGGUCGAUGGGUCCACUCCAAUAAUGCUUGAGCCGUUGGCCGUUUACCUUGAAUGUUCGCUUCGAAUUCGGUUCCUCGACUUCGAUGUUUCCAUGUGGUGCGACUGAUAUAACCCGGAAUGGCCCGGACCAGCGAGAUUUCAACUUACCGGGGAAUAGACGCAAUCGUGAAUUGAAUAGUAAGACUUGUUGGUCCGGUUCGAAUUUUUGAUCAAGGAUUUUCUUAUCAUGCCAGGUUUUGACUUUCUCCUUGUAGACUUUUGCGUUCUCAUAUGCAUUGAACCGAAAUUCGUCCAUCUCAUAUUUAAUUGCAGUAACCUUUUCUCCCCUGCUGCUUGAAGGUCGAGAUUCAGUUUUCGGAUGGCCCAGUAUGCACUGUGUUCUAAUUCGACCAGGAGAUGACAAGCUUUUCCGUACACCAUCCUGUAGGGUGACAUGCCUAUAAGAUUCUUGUAAGCUGUUCGAUAUGCCCAUAGGGCAUCAUCUUGACGCAUUGCCCAGUCUUUCCGUGACAGAUUGACCACCUUUUCUAAGAUUCUCUUAACUUCCCGAUUUGAAACUUCCGACCAUUGGUUUACGGAUGAUACGCGGCUGUAAUUUUGUGACGGACCCCAUACUUUAUAAGCAAUUUAGUGAACUGCUUAUUAUAGAAAUGAGUUCCCACAUCACUGAUUAUCGCCCUCGGUGUCCCAAAUCAUGUGAAGAUAUUUUUCUUCAAAAAUUGUAGUACGACGUUGGCAUCAUUCGAGGGUAACGUUGCGACUUCUACCCAUUUGGAAACGUAGUCGACCACCAACAGAAUGUACUGAUUAUUGAAGGAGGAUGGAAAAGGUCCCAUAAAAUCGAUUCCCCACACAUCGAAUAGGUCAACCUCCAAGAUUGUAGUAAGUGGCAUUUCAUUUCGUUUGGAAAUAUUACCUACUCGUUGACACCGAUCACAUUUUAGCACAUAUAGGUAUGCAUCUUUGAAUAGAGAGGGCCAAAAAAAUCCCGAUUGCAGCACUUUGGCCGCUGUCUGAUCACCUGCGUAAUGACCUCCGUAAUCUGAUGAGUGGCAAUAACCUAAUAUGCUAUCCAUCUCUUCGUGUGGCACACAUUGUCUAAUCAUUUGAUCCGCGCAAGCCUUAAACAGAAAUGGUUCAUCCCAAUAAUAUUGCUUGACAUAGUGGAGGAACUUCUUUCGUUGAUGCGAAUUCAAAUCCUGGAGUAAUACCUUUCCAACCAAGUAAUUCACUUAAUCUGCAUACCACGGCAAUAUCGUUAUUACUCGAAGAAGCUGUUCAUUCGAAAACCUCUCAUUAAUCAUGACGUUGUCUUUUUGCUGAGCUUCCGCAUUUUCCAACCGAGAAAGAUGAUCCGCCACCUGGUUCUCGGUACAUUUUCUAUCCUGGAUCUCCAAAUCAAAUUCUUGUAGUAACAGUACCCACCGUAUUAACCGCGGUUUGGCAUCCUUCUUCUCAAUCAGAUAUUUAAUGGCAGAAUGAUCAGUGUAAACAAUUACCUUAGUCCCUAUGAGAUAUUCUCUGAAUUUGUCGAAGGCAAACACAACCGCAAGUAAUUCUUUUUUGGUGGUCGUGUAGUUCAACUGAGCAUCUGUCAACGUCUUGCUGGAGUAGUAGAUAGUGUGAAAAUUUUGUCGUGACGUUGUCCCAAUACUGCUCCAACUGCGUAGUCACUGGCGUCACACAUCAAUUCAAACGGUAAAGACCAAUCGGGCGCCACUAUAAUUGGAGUUUAGACCAAUUUCUUCUUUAAUACUUCAAACGCCUCGAUAUAUGACAGAUCCAUCUUGAAAGGCACAUCCUUCUCCAAAAGGGAACAUAAGAGUUUCAAAAUUUUGGAAAAAUCUUUAAUGAAGCGUCUGUAAAAACCCGCAUGUCCCAAGAAGCUCCGUAUUCCCUUGACAGAUGUUGGAGGAGGUAGUUUCUCAAUCGUUUCAAUUUUCACUUUAUCCACCUCUAAGCCUGCUGCAGAAACCUUAUGCCCCAAAAUAAUCCCCUCUUGCACCAUAAAGUGACAUUUCUCCCAGUUAAGAACAAGGUUAGUCUCCACACAACACUUCAACACUAAGACCAGAUUAUUCAAGCAUAAAUCAAAAUUAUCACCGAACACGGAGAAGUCAUCCAUGAAUACUUCCAAAUUUUGUUCUACCAUAUCAAAAAAGAUCACCAUCAUGCACCGUUAAAAGGUUGCCGGCGUAUUACAUAACCCAAAAGACAAACGCCGGAAUGCAAACGUACCAUAGGGCCAUGUGAAUGUAGUUUUUUCUUGAUCUUCCAGGGCUAUGUCAAUUUGAUUAUACCAGGAAUAUCCAUCCAAAAGAUAGUAGAACUGAUGUCCCGCUAACCUAUCCAGCAUCUGAUCAAUGAACGACAAGGGGAAGUGAUCCUUGCAUGUGGCUUUAUUCAGCUUGCGGUAAUUCAUACAUACUCUCCAUCCUGUAACGGUUCUAGUAGGGAUGAGCUCAUUAGCUUCGUUCUUCACCACUGUCAUACCCCCUUUCUUUGGUACGCACUGUAUAGGACUUACCCAUGAACUGUCCGAGAUCGAUUAUAGCUCGCUACGAACUGAGCUGAUUCAGCAUUUAUGGCACAUUGAUCUGUAACAUGACUCCCAACACAUAACUCACAAACCAUUGCUACUUACUGCGUGGAUGGUGGAGUCCAUGUUUUCAUUUUCUUAGCUAAUGCGGACACCUGUGCUGCCAAUGCUAUCACUGUAUCCGCUUCAAACUUUCCCGGUGUUUUCGGAGGGUUUGACCUAGUCAUGGGCCACUAAUAGUUGUUGUUGGCCAUCGUUUCUAGCAGUUGAUAAGUGUAGUAGCCCCAAAUUUGGGUCCUAAUCACCACAGAUCUGGUAUACUAUUUCCAUAACUAAUUGCGGAAGAUAUAAACAUAAAGUGUUUAUACAAUACAAUUUACACACUAUUCCCCAAAAUCGAGUAACCUUAACUUAUACACAAUUCAUAAACUAUCUAACAUAUAACAUUAUUAUCAAACUAUACUAUUACAAACUAGCCGCACAUUUUAUCCCAAGCUGAACUUGGUAUUAACCUUUUUCCUGUAUCCGAACGCAUUCGCCUUAUCUGCAAUGUUUAUCAUGAUAUAGCAAGGGUGAGCAUGAAAGUUGCCCAGCAAGUUUAAAUACAAUUUAAGGAUUUAUCAUGAUUGGAAGAGUCUGAAUAAUAAGCUGGCUAUAAUUCAUCAAUAUAAUUGACAACUAGCACGAACAAACUUUUGACUGAACAAGUAUUGAACAUGAACAAAUAUAUCUGGACCAACUGGUAAUGAAUGUGAUCAGCCUUUCAUACCUGACUUAUACAUGCAAAUAUGUACAGAAUACAUGCAAUAUGUACAGAGUACAAUUGUACAUGGCAAUCAACAAUGAUUAACCAUAAGCAUAUCUGAAUGAAACAACUCUUAGUAGAGUUAAGUAAAACUUGCCUGAACCAUUGAUUACCGCUACGCAAUUUAUAUCGCUUUAUCCGAAGACCUAAUAUUAGUAAUAUAGAUCUCCAAUAUUAGAAUAAUAUCAUCACAAUAUAAUACUAUUAUAUAUAUAUAUAUACAUAGAAUAACCUAAACACAUAACACAUAACCCUAUCAGUCUACAACACACAUAAGACUUAGUAUCAGGUCAAACUAUUUCAGUCUGACUUGAGCCCGACAAAAUUCUAACAUCCCGACGGUCUAGUCGAACAAAUCUCGAGUCUAAAAUCACUAAGACUCGGUCUAAACUGGUUCACAAAUAUCUUAAAUAAUUUAUUAUCAGUCAAAAUAUUUUUCAUAAGCUCGUAAUAAUUUUCAGAUAAUUAUUACCAUUUAUCAUGAUUUUUCAAUCAUUAAUAUCGUAUUUAUAUGAAUUAAAUACCACAUAAUUCCUUUAUCAUUAAUAUUUAUUUAAUAUUAAAUAUUAAUGAAAAUCAUAACAUAAUAUUAUAAUAUAUUUAUAAUAUAUCAAAGUAUUUUUAAUACCUUAAAAUCAUAUUUAUAUGAUUUUUAAACAAUUAAAUUCAUUAUCCGAUAAUUGCUAUUAAUAUUAAAAUAUUAAUAUUUUCAUGACAAAAUAUCAAAAGUUAUAUUUUAUAACUUAAAAUAUUUUUAUAACACUUAAAUCAUUUUUAUAUGAUUUUUAAAUCAUUAAUUCUAUUUUUCCAUAAUUUAUUUAAUAUAUUUAUUAAAUAAAUUAAUUACCAUUAAUAAUAAUUUAUUAAUUAAAUUCAUCACAAAAUAUUAAAAGUCAUCAAAAAUAACUUAAAAUAUUUUUUAAUAUCAUAAUAUAAUUUUUUCAUGAAUUAAAACUAUUUUUAAAUAAUUUAUUUAAUAUUAUAAUUAAAUAAAUAAAUACCUUUUAUAUUCCAAAAAUAUUAAAUAUUUUUGAAAUAUACUUAAAAUAAUUAAAAACUAUUUUCUAGGCUUUAAAAUAAUUUUUCAGAAUUUAUUAUGUAUUUUUAAUAAUUAAAAUCUAUUUUUUUUCAAUUUAUUUAAUAAUUUAAUCUAUUUUUCGAAAUUAAUUGUCACUAAAGAGCCCUAUAGCGACAAAACCGACGCUAUAGGUGUUCUUGAGUGUUCUUGAGCAUUUCCAGAAAACCAUGUCAGUGUUCAAGUGGGUAGUUUUGACCGGUUAUAAUUUCUAAUCCAAUCAUGUUCUGAACUAACUUAGGCUUUAAUCUCGUAGUACACAUGUAAUACUUCUAUCAAUCAUAAAUUUGGUCAUAUCACAACAUAUCAUGAAGAUCUGGUCUCUGAAACAUGUUGUCAGACCAUGCCUGGGUUUUUAGGGUAACCCAGAAACCCAAGACAGUUCGAGUGUCUCAUUUCGACCUCAGUUAUCUGAGGGUUCUGGUCAUUAUUUUAGUGGUUUUAUGGUUUCGGUCUAUAGUCCUUAUGUCAGUGAACAUUUACAUUACAACAAAUCAGUUCAACAACAUAUAAAUCAUCAGAUACAGAUCGGUCAAAGCUUGUCAGGAAUGACGUUCACGUGGUUUCUGGAAAUUCCAGAAACUGAACAAUAUGACCGAGUGACUUGGUUUGACCACUCACUACAUUUGAUAUUUUGAUGUUUUGAAAGGUCUAAAAACAUGGAUCUAUAGUCCAUACAACACACUACAACUUUGUUACAACCACAUGAACAUAUCACCUACAGUCUGACAGAUAAAGACCUUAGAAAAGCUUGUCAGGCCUGGUUUUACACUUUCUGGGUUACCCAGAAAGUUCAUAGUCAUGCUUGGUCAACCAUUUUUGACCUUGAAUAUCUUGAAUUCUGUAAAUGGAAUAGCUUUGAUUCCACUUCCAGAUCAAAGACCUCUUGUCAGACUACAAGUGUAAAGCUUAAAACAACUCAAAACAUAAACACAUAAAGAUCUAAGGCCACUGACAUAUGGUUGUCAGGCCAUUUCUUGAAUUUUUUUUCCACAUUUCAAAAAUACUAGAUUCGAGCACUUUAAUGUUAUGGAUCUGGGAUUUAACAACCCAGAUCACUAAAUAACAUCAUAAUAUAUAACAUUAAACAACAAACAACAACAUCAAACAUCAUAUCAUAGGAUUUCUAAAUUUUAGGGUUUAUAUCACUUUGAUGCUUUGAUUCUGAUUCUGAUCCUUGAGAUCUAUUCCUGCUAAGCUAAGAAGUAUUCUUGGCUUAUCUUAUCACUCUAUCUCAUUCCCAUUCCCGAAAUAUAGAGAGAGAAAAGGUUGGGCAAGCUUGAAAAAUAAAAGUAAGUGACUUUAUUUACUUUUUAAGUCUAAAUUUAUAAUUCAAUGUAUAAUGCUGAUAUUAUUGGCUGAUAUGUGAGAUAUAAGUCACAAGCUAGGGCUAGGGUUGGUGAACAACCCACAUUAGGUCAAGAUCUACACACCAACUCAUUAAAGAAUUGCAAAAGGGGUAAAAUAGUCAUUUUCAUACCAUUUUAUUUCUAGAAUUGUCAUUUGAUACAAACCCUUAGGGUUUGACCCUUAUGGUUUAAUCCUUAGGGUUAAAACCUAAGGUUCCAUAAAUCAAUUUUCUAGGAUUUCCGGAUUAAGGUUUUCGAAAUAUAAAAUUAAUAUUUCAAAAUUAUUAUUAGGAUUUUAUAAAUAUAUUUAGAUUUCCUAAUCAUACUCUCAGUCUUGCUAAUUAGGAUUAUUACUUCCUAAUUAAAUUUGCCAAUUUAGUAAUUAGGGUCAAAAUUGUACAUUAGGGUUUCUGACAGAACAAUUAGGGUUCAAAAAUUUGAAAUUAGGGUUUACUAAUUAAUUAAGCUUUACCCUAAUUAAUAUUAUAAUUAAUAGCACUUAAACAUUAAAAUUCUCCGUUAAGUUCCCAGAUUAGGGUUUUAAAUUACCAGAAUCUGAAAUUAGGGUUUUUAGAUCUGGUAUUAGGGUUUUCUAAUAAUCAAUUAGGAUUUUAAGUAAUUCAUUGGGGUUUUCCCUAAUAAAUUAAAAUUAAUGACGUUUAGACUUAUACAUAGCAUUUAAAUUCCCGAAUUAGGGUUUUUAAUUUCCGAAUUAGGGUUUCGGACUCCCGAAAUUAAAAUUAGGGUUUCAGAGCCGAUUUUUAGGGUUUCUUAUCUGACGUUAGGGUUUUUUAACUGAACGUUGACGUUCUUAAUAUAUACUUAGGGUUUGACACUGAUAAAAUUUAUCUGGUCAACCCUUGACCCUUAACCACAUUCUGAACACAUACAUAACCAUAUACACAGAACAUAUUCACAUAUACACUUAAUCCUAAUUAAUUAUCCAAAAUCCUACACAGAAUUUUGAAAUCCUAAAAAUUCCUUCCCAAAAAUAUCAAACGCAUACACUUAUUUUCUGUCUAGGUCUAUUAUUUGACCUUAAAUUCAUCAUUUAAGAUUUUAAUAAAUUAUCUAAUUUCUCGGGUUGUCACAUUCACCCUUUUUUCUAAGAAUUUCGUCCCCGAAAUUCACCUUACACCAUACACCAUACACCAUACUGCUUACACCAUUCACACAUAUCAUCACAUGCUACCCAAUACACCACACACAAGAGUAAAAGUUUUCAAAUCAUGCUGAGGGGUCAUAUAGACCAUGAACACAUAGUUUUAACGGUAUUCAUACCGCAAAACUAUACAUUACAUUACUUGGUAUGUUUACAAUCACAAAGAAGGUAAACUACCGUUGUUAGUACUUUAGGUGAUUAGCCUAUCGUACUCUUACGUCAUGCAUAACGUAUUAAUCAUGUCUAGCGAAUAUUUACGCUACUCGAUUGGAUUAUUUAUCCAAACAACAUAGUUCACCUCAGUCUUAUUAUAGGAUUCCGCACCAAAACGAUUUGGUUCGGGAAAUUUCUUUCAAUGAACACUUAGAGUUUUCAUAAACAUUAGUCUAGCUGAAUCGAAUAACGUACUCAUAUCAAUAAUUCAAUUCAAUCGAAUUAUUUAAGUGUAGCCAAACCCCGUUGGCAAAUUAAAAUUUUAAAAAUAUUUUCGAGAAUGACGUCAUGAUGCCGUACUGUAUUAACAGUCCGUUUGAGGAUGCCGUCAUUGUAUGACUUUGUCAUUACACAUCAUACAAUAGUGGAAUAGCGAUUUUAGAUCAAAUUCACUUCUUGUAUUUAUAACUCCAUCACCUUUUUAUCAUCUCUGCACCAGGUUACAUGGUACAUAAGUGAUAAAUAAAAUAUAUUUUGAUAUUUCAAAUCAUUUGCGUCUAGCCGAAAUAAGUAGCAUAGACUGUACUUUAAACCGUUUCAAAAAUGAUUAAGAGUCUAUAUUUUUUUUUAAAAAAAAAACACAUAGUGCGUAUUUAGCUUGAUGUCAAAAUUUCGAAGUCUAGCAUAACUAGGAGUUUUGGAAAACUUAUGUCUCCACUAAUGAUCAUUUGCUUAACAAUCUAUCUGUUCCUAUAAUCCUCAAUUCUCCAUUCACAGAUAACUAUACCCAGUUCGUCAAACCACACUUAUGAGUUCAUAAAUUUUUCACAAUUAUAUGAGUUUAAGAACUUACCCUAGUCAGACCUUUGGCGUCCAUUCGCUGAGGGGUUCAUAAACAUUUCGUAUAACUAUGAGUCAAGAAUGUCACAUAAGUAUAAGUUUUAAGAACUCGAAUUUAACCCUAUAUUCUCUACCUAUAACCUAUCUAUCUGUUAUACACAUGAGAAAGGAAUCACCCUCUUAACAUGCAUAUAACAAAUAGCGCGACACAACAAUUCAAUGAUUAUCAAUGCCAGAUACUAAGUAGUUUUUACACUAAGUACAAUUCCCCGCCCAUACAAGGAAUCAUACAACUCAGCUGCCAACAUGAGUCCUCAAUUGAAAUCCCCACCUAAUCUUAACCCCCUUCACAAUACGAAUUUCAUUUAAUCCAUAUUCAUAAUCCUUUCCUGAUUCUGUACCAAUUCAUAGUACAACUGACACACAACAAUCUUGCUGUAAACUUUCCAAUCAUCAAAUUGAUUCUUUUCCCUGCUAUCACCUUAUCAGAUCACGGGGUGAUCUCAUCGUAUAUAUUACGAUUCAAUUCUAUAUCUUAAUCGUUUUGUUUUACGAUCUCCUAUCACUGUACUUUCAGACUUUUAGACUUGAUCUUAUCAUCACUACUGCUCAACAUUAUUAUCAGAGUUAGGGAACUCCGUAUCUUUAUAACUCGCCGAGAUUCAUCUUUGAAUCUUAUCGACACACUAACUCGAUUUGAGUUAGUACUUAUCCUAAUCACUGCGGUUAUUAGUCUCAGGUAUUCCUACUUAAGGUUCAUAACCAAUAGCUUUGAUACCAACUGUAGUAGCCCCAAAUCCGGGUCCUAAUCACCACAGAUUUGGUAUACUAUAUCUAUAACUAAUUGUGGAAGAUAUAAACAUAAAGUGUUUAUACAAUAUAAUUUACACACUAUUCCCCAAAAUCGAGUAAUUUUAACUUAUACACAAUUCAUAAACUAUCUAACACAUAACAUUAUUAUCAAACUAUACUAUUUCAAACUUGGCAUUAACCUUUUCCUGUAUCUGAACGCAUUCGCCUUAUCUGCAAUGUUUAUCAUGAUAUAGCAAGGGUGAGCAUGAAAGUUGCCCAGCAAGUUUAAAUACAAUUUAAGGAUAUAUCAUGAUUGGAAGAGUCUGAAUAAUAAGCUGGCUAUAAUUCAUCAAUAUAAUUGAGAACUAGCACGUACAAACUUUUGACUGAACAAGUAUUGAACAUGAACAAAUAUAUCUGGACCAACUGGUAAUGAAGGUGAUCAGCCUUUCAUACAUGACUUAGACAUGCAAUAUGUACAUAGUACAAUUUUACAUGGCAAUCAGCAAUGAUUAACCAUAAGCAUAUCUGAAUGAAACAACUCUUAGUAGAGUUAAGUAAAACUUGCCUGAACCGUUGAUUACCGCUACGCAAUUUAUAUCGCUUUAUCCGAAGACCUAAUAUUAGUAAUAUAGAUCUCCAAUAUCAGAAUAAUAUCAUCACAAUAUAAUAAUAUUAUAUAUAUAUACAUAGAAUAACCUAAACACAUAGCACAUAACCGUAUCAGUCUAUACAACACAUAAGACUUAGUAUCAGGUUAGACUAUUUAUGUCCGAGUUGAAAUUGACACAAUUCUAUCAUUUCGACGGUCUAGUCGGACAAUUAUCGAGUUUAAGUUCCAUUAAACUCUGUCUAAACACUUAACAAUUAUCUUAGAUAAUUUACUAUCAGUCAAAAUAUUUUUCAUAAACUCGUAAUAAUUUUCGGAUAAUUAUUACCAUUUAUCAUGAUUUUCCAAUCAUUAAUAUCGUAUUUAAAUGAAUUAAAUACCACUUAAGUCCUUAAUCAUUAAUAUUUAUUUAAUAUUAAAUAUUAAUGAAAAUCAUAACAUAAUAUUAUAAUAUAUUUAUAAUAUAUCAAAGUAUUUUUAAUACUUUAAAUCCAUAUUUAUAUGAUUUUUAAACAGCUAAAUUCAUUAUCCGAUAAUUGCUAUUAAUAUUAUUAAUAUUUUCUUGACCAAAUAUCAAAAGUUAUAUUUUAUAACUUAAAAUAUUUUUAUAUCACUUAAAUUAUUUUUAUAUGAUUUUUAAAUCAUUAAUUCUAUUUUUUCAUAAUUUAUUUAAUAUAUUUAUUAAAUAAAUUAAUUACCAUUAAUAAUAAUUUAUUAAUUAAAUUCAUCACAAAAUAUUAAAAGUCAUCAAAAAUAACUUAAAAUAUUUUUUAAUAUCAUAAUAUAAUUUUUUCAUGAAUUAAAACUAUUUUUAAAUAAUUUAUUUAAUAUUAUAAUUAAAUAAAUAAAUACCUUUUAUAUUCUAUAAAUAUUAAAUAUUUUUGAAAUAUACUUAAAAUAAUUAAAAAUUAUUUUUCAGGCUUUAAAAUUUACUAAUUUAACAACCCACAUUAGGUCAAGAUCUACACACCAACUCAUUAAAGAAUUGCAAAAAGGGUAAAAUAGUCAUUUCCAUACCAUUUUAUUUUUAGAAUUGUCAUUUGAUACAAACCUUUAGGGUUUGACCCUUAGGGUUAAAUCCUAAGGUUCCAUAAAUCAAUUUUUUAGGAUUUCCGGAUUAGGGUUUUCGAAAUCUAAAAUUAAUAUUUCAAAAUUAUUAUUAGCAUUCUAUAAAUAUAUUUAGAUUUCCUAAUCAUACACUCAAUCUUGCUAAUUAGGAUUAUUACUUCCUAAUUAAAUUUGCUAAUUUAACAAUUAGGGUCAAAAUUGUACAUUAGGGUUUUUGACGGAACAAUUAGGGUUCAAAAAUUUAAAAUUAGGGUUUGCUAAUUAAUUAAGCUUUACCUUAAUUAAUAUUAUAAUUAAUAGCACUUAAGCAUUAAAAUUCUCCGUUAAGUUCCCAUAUUAGGGUUUUAAAUUACCAGAAUCUGAAAUUAGGGUUUUCAGAUAUGGUAGUAGGGUUUUCUAAUAAUCAAUUAAGAUUUCAAGUAAUUCAUUAGGGUUUUCCCUAAUAAAUUAAAAUUAAUGACGUUUAGACUUAUACAUAGCAUUUAAAUUCCCGAAUUAGGGUUUUCAAUUUCUAAAUUAGGGUUUCGGACUCCCGAAACUGAAAUUAGGGUUUCAGAACCAGUUUCUAGGGUUUCUUAUCAGACGUUAGGAUUUUCUAACUGAACGUUGACGUUCUUAAUAUAUACUUAGGGUUUGACACUGAUAAAAUUUAUCUAGUCAACCCUUAACCCUUAACCACAUUCUGAACACAUACAUAACCAUAUACACAGAACAUAUUCACAUAUACACUUAAUCCUAAUUAAUUAUCCAAAAUCCUACACAGAAUUUUGAAAUCCUCAAAAUUCCUUCCCAAAAACAUCAAACGCAUACACUUAUUUUCUGUCUAGGUCUAUUAUUUGACCUUAUAUCCAUUAUUUAAGAUUUUAAUAAAUUGUCUAAUUUCUCGGGUUGUCACAAUAAGCCUCAUCAAAAUUCUUGGACAUGAUCGCUCCACCUACUGCUGCAUCAGUACUGGCUCUUGUGGUCGCGUGCAAUCCAUCACAAAAUAUUCCAACCUGCAUCCACUAUGGGAUUCCGUGAUGUGGGAAUUUACGGAGCAUAUCCUUGAAUCUUUCCCACACCUCAUAUAAAGUUUCGGAGUCGAACUGUGCGAAGGUGUGAAUAUCGUUCCGUAAUUUUGCCGACUUCACUGGUGGGAAAAACUUAGCUAGAAAUUUUUGAGCUAAGUCAUCCCAAGCUGUGAUUGAACCAGGAGGCAAAGAAUGUAACCAAUUCCGAGCUUUAUCUUUCAACGUAAACGAGAUCAUCCUCAACCUUAUAGCAUUCUCCGAUACAUUAUUGAACUUGAAGGUGUCGCAAACUUCCAAGAAACUCAAGAUGUGCUCAUUAGGAUCAUCUAUCGAACUACCCCCAAACUGGCAUGUAUUCUGGAGCAUCUGAAUUGUUCCCGAUUUUAUCUCAAAACUGUUUGCAUUGAUUGCCGGCCUCCUAAUACUCGACUGUAUAUCUGUAACAUUCGGCAUGGCAUAAUACCCAAGUAAUUUUUGUUCGUCCCCUGCCAUGUUCACUGGUAUUUCUUGUUCUGCCAGAUCUUCUUCCACAGGUGACACCGCACUAGUCAACUGCACUUUCCGGAAUUUCCUUUCGAUAUCGUCUGUAUAAGGAAAAUGUUCCUUUUUAGCCCUUGAUCUAGUGUGCAUACACUCGCAAAGAAUUCUUGCAAAUACAAGAAGAAAAAUAAAUAACGUUUAAAUUAAGACCGAAUUGAUUAUAACUAAUAUGAAAUUAAUAUUAAUAUAGUAUUCCCCGGCAACGGAGCCAAAAACUAGUUGGUUGAUUUCACAAUCAAUAAAUUUGUGCAAGUGUACACAGUCAACAAGUAAUAAAGUGAUAAGAUAGAGUUUCGAUCCCAUAGAGAAUUCUAAUCAAUAAAUUCCAACUACUAGCACUAUAUCAAUCCAAUUUUAUUUAAACAACCAUAAAGUGUGAUUUUUCAAAAUAAGAAAAACUAAAUUAAACAAUUAAAAAGAGAUUACUCUAAAAUAAAUCAAAAAAACAAAAUUAAGAUUUUAACGAAUGAAUUCAGAUAAAUAAAGAUUAAGACUCCAAUAUCCCCAAUUAUGAACUAUAAACCAAUUAUCCAAUUAUCUCAAUUAUUAUGCCUACUGAAUUGUUAACAGGAAUUCUCAAGUGUCAAAAGCCCUUUUCCAAGUGAUCAAUUAACUUCUAUUCAAUCCAAUUAAUCUUGCUAUAUUCCUAUGCAAAACAAUUAAAUUAAACUCUUUCAAUCCCAAUUCCUAACUUGUUACAUGCAGUGAACAUAUAUUUCCAUUCAAUUCACGACCCUAAUUAUUCGUCAUGCAAAUAAUUAAGAAUACAUGUUAUCAUGCCCAGUUCUAACCCUAGAUCUCCUCUUCCAAUUCCUUCUAGAGUAACAAGGUAAUUAUUGGCCAAAUAAUUAAUCAAUAAGCACAAGAUAAGAUAAACAAUUCACUUCGACAUAAAUAAUUGGAAUAAAUUGAAUAACUAAUUUAUAGACAUAAAAGGUUUAAUUGAAAUCUUAAUGAAAGAAUUAGUUCAUGAUAGAAUUUAAAACCAACAAUCCUUUAAAAAUCAUCCUUAAGGAAUUACACCAAUUGAAAAAUAGGAGAAGAAGAAAACUCUAGAGCCAAUCCUUCAAUCUUCAAGUAAUCCCUUACUUAGUCUUCAAUUGUAGUAGUUCCCCCUUUUAAUUCAGCACAGUAAACUUUAUAUACUAUUCACAUUGCACCACAAUCCUUUCUCAAAUCAACCUCUCAAUUAAGCCACAAAUCCAAGUCAACUCGUUGGUCAACACGCGCGUCUUUGGUCAACUGAUGCCGGGCUUCAGUGCCCCGGCGCUGUGGAAUAAACUAGCUAGAGCGCCCCGGCGCUGAGCUUCAAAAUAAUUACGAAAAUGCCAUUCACAGCUCAAACUUCUCAAUUUGCCCCUGUGUCUCCUGAAUCUGCAAAAUAACAACAAAUCACAAUAAAAAUUCUACUAAACGACUUGAGAAUACAAUAAUUUAAGCUCGAUUAUAUUCAAUUCAUGGGUAUAUUACCCAAUCAUCAAUUACUGUAACAAUUAUUGAGUAGUGUCUUCUUACGUAAGAAUUAAUAAUUCAAAAAUACUGUGCAAUACCGUGUACUACUCUGCAACCACGCGUAUUACUGUAUUUUAACCACCAGGUAUUUUAACAGUGUUAAUGGUAACAAUUAUGCCGUUAUUUAUAAAAACUCAAACUUAUUGUUUUCUUCAUCCAACCGUUUUCCGUUAUGGGGCCCACAAAUGACUGCACCGUCGUACGAAUAUUCCCCUACAACAAGAAUAUUUCACGACCAAACGAAUAUUCACCAACAACUUACCAACAGUACAAGGAUAUGUAGAAUCACGCAUCAUUGAGGUGUCUCAUUUUUAUGUUCUUGUGAUCUUACAAAUUGUAUGAACAUUGAGGUUCAUUAAAAAUGUGAGUGGCUCUGUUGAGUUGAGUCGAGAGAAUAUGUUUUGAGAAAUAAUUUUUGUCAAAAAUUAAGGAAAGUGCUGCUUCUAUAUAUGUCUCUCCUCCCCUGGUAUAUCUAUAGUUCUUUCUCCUCCCCUGGUAUAUCCCUGGUAUAUGUAUUUGGAAAGUCUUCAACUAAUGGAAGUCAUCCAUAUCAUGUCAGGAAAGAGACCCAUGGAAAAUAUCUAUUAAACAAUAUAUUUUUGUACAAGUUGGACGAAAAUAUAACAGCUUCUACACGGAACAUAUCAAAAAAAUAUUUGGACAGAAAACAAUAGACAUUGAGAAGACCUUUAGAAAGAGAUCUUGUUAAAUACCAAGAUGUGCAAAGUCUGAUAGAAAACGUGCCAUUAUAAAUUCCAUUACACUUUGUCAAUUACAAUUUCUUUCACAACUUCACUUCCAUUACAACUUUCAACAAAAGACAAUUAAUUUUUCAUAAUAACAAACAAAUAGAGAAUAAGUAUUACAAAAACUCAUUUCUUCAAUAAUUUAAUUACUUGUCUCAUUUCAAUUAUAGUAGGAUCGUGCAUAAUGAAAUUAUUUGGCAGCUGCAUUUUCCAUUUGGGCACGCAUAGUAGAUUCAACCUUCAUUUCCAUUCUUAUUGGAGCGGGUAAUUUUACAAAUCGCAAAUUGUCUACAAUGACAUUGCUUGCUUUGAAUCCUUAAAUCAUAUUCACUGUUUUUUACCAUGCUUCCUGAUGCCAUGUUUUUCUACAAAAAAAUUGUUUGUCAAUGAAUAUAAACACAGCCGAAUGAAUAGACUUUCAUGGUUAAAAAUAAUAAUAAAUCAAUAUGUCGUAAGUUCCAGCUUUCAUUCCAACUAAGGAUCUAGCAAAAACAGAACAUAUCGAUCUGAUACAUAUACUUUAUUUCAAAAAACAAAAAAAAAACAGAAAAAUUGAUCACUUCAUCAAUCAAAGAGAUCUAACAAAUCAUUUCAAAAUGGUAGAUUGAAGGAAAACAAGAUAAUAUACACCAAGGAUACGCUAAAGAAAGAAAGGUUGUCAAGGGAAACAACAUCAAGUCCCCUCUUUUGCAAAACAACACUACCAGUCUUUUUGAGGAGGAGACAGUAGUACUAGUACAGUAAACAAUUAGAGAUGACUGCUUCCAGUUAAAGAUAAGGAUUUUAUGAUAGGCAUAGAUGAUUUCCAGCAUUAUGACAUUUGCAACAAGUGUUACAGGGAUAAGUUUGAAGCUCCCUACCUCUCCAUCUACAACAUGUAACAUUCAAUAACAUAAGUUUGCAUAUAUUCAAGUUCCCUGAAUUGGAACUUAAAACUCCUCGAAAGAUUAGGGUUAUUUUCUCUGUGACUAGUAGUCAUAAUUAACACUUAAAAAUCUAUAUUAAAAUGACACAAACUAUUAUACACAUUGUUAACCAACAAAUAAAUGGCUUGGAUCCACCAAAUUUGCUCCCUAGCCAAAUAAGAGAUUUCCUAGGAAACAGAUACUUCUACAAGUUUGACAUGUUCAUACAUGUGUUUGACACUUCCUUCUACAUAGAAAUGAUUCAAGUAUAGAAGUUUUCCUAUUUGCUCAACACUAGUAGAAUUAUGGAUACUUGUCUAACCAUAUCCAAAACCUCAAGGUACUAUAUUCUUUUUAGUAUGUUAAAUUAUUAUGUUGUUAAAUGAAACAAAUAAAAUGCUUUAUCACAACAAAAUUUAGAUAAGAGUACACCAAUAAAAGUAAGUAAAUCAUCUUGUAUCACAUACAUUAUACUAUAAUAGAUGCGUAUUGAUAUAUUAGACACGUUUUCAGUCUUCACUAAUUGCAUAAUAUAGUACUUAUUUAUUAUCACAACAUAUAUUAAACUAACAAAAAGUUUAAGUUCUUUACUGAAAUUGUAAGUUCUGCCGUUUCUAAAAAAAAUUAUUCAGAAUAAUAUUAAAUGCUCCACAACAAGUACCAUGAACAGUAAAUAAUAAAAAGGCCAUUGUGAAUGUUUCAAUUGUACAAAUUCCAUUUGUUCAGAAUCAAAAUCCUUAAUUUAGUCAUAAAAUUUUCUCCUAAAACAAGAAUUUGCACAAAAUUUUCACCCAAAACAAGAGUUUGCACAAAUUUUAGGGUUUUAGGGUUUUGGGAAUUGAGGCGUAUGAGAGAGUAAUGGAAGGAGGAGGAUAAGAAAUGUGAAGAGGAUACCUUGAAAGCUGGUUAUUUUGGAUCUCACUUUGUUCUAGGCGGCAGCGAAGCAGCGAGUUUGGCGUGAGAGAGUGUUUGCUAGAGAGAGAGAGUGUUUGGUAAAGUGAGAGAGACAGGUGAUUUGAAAGUUUUUUAUAGUUUCUCUUCUUUAUUGAUACUGAUAUGGCACAGCCACAUCAGCCAAUUGCCAACCCCGAUCCCCAAACCCGGUUGCCCCAGAAUUAUUGUUUUUCAUAAGAGAUUAUUAGCUGUUGAAGAAUCUAUUCACACUACCUUUGAUGAGACUAAUAUUGUAGAGCCAAGUAAGACUUGUAUCUUUGAUGAAGUCAUGGAACAUGAUGAUGAGAUUGUAGAACAGAUAGUCUACGGUUGAAGAUGAGGAAAUCGUGGAGCCUAUUACACAACAUGAAGAGAUUAUAGAGUAAGAAUUGCAGAAUCAACAAGGAUCUACCUCAUCUUUAUAAAAUGAAAGCACUUCUCAACAAAAUCAAGAAGAACUCGACUCUGAGGGACUUAUGUAAUGCUCCCCUAAAUUUGGUGCAUACUAUUCAUCAUCAUCCACAACAUCCAACUAGUAACAUAAUCUAAAAGACAUAAAAUAAUUACAAAUAUGUUUGUAGACACCCAAAAUUUUCACAUCUUUUCUCUAAUAGUGGCAGGAAGGCACAAGCGUCAUUUCACCUUGAGACCAAGAUGUUUAAGCAAAUAUUACAAGGCUCAAAACAAAUAUUCGGAGCCCCCACGAUAACCUCCAAGCAACAAACUACACAAAUGAAGAUAAGUGACUAACAAACAUUUGUAGAAUGAUGGUUUCCCCCCCUUUUCUCUACUUCCCAAAUCCAAAAUUGAUCAAACUCAAUGUCAUUGUGUAUCUCUCGAAAAGAGCUUUCCGGAAUUGUAUGACACGUUUUCUAACUCUUCUUGGUUUGAAAGUUAUGAACGUUUCAGUACGCAACAUAGAAAAAUCGACGCCGUCACACGAAAAUCGAGGCUAGUGGGCCCCACCCUAGGCCAACCGCAGACCUAGGCCCACUCUAAAUCCAAUCUAGAUCUAAUUUUUUUCAUCAAACCUCCUACCAAUCUAGCGUCAAGCCUUCCAUACAAAGCUUAAAGAGGAAGAAACUAUCACUCCCAAGGUUAAAGUUCUCAUCAUUAUUGUGAUGCCCCCAAAUCCGAGUACCUUUAACCUACGGAUCUGGUGCUUCACGGUACUAACUCUAACAUACAUUUAACCAUACAUUCAUACUAAUAGGAAAGUAAUUACAAUUAUUACAAGCCUAUUAUUACAUACCUAGAUUUAUGACCUUUAAAUCUUCUUAACAUGAUAAUUAAAACAGUAUAUUUACAAUAAGCCUAUCUAUUACAAAUAAGGUUCACAUUUUCUUAUUAAUUCAUCUUGUCUUUGUCUUUGUCCUUUCCAGAACCAUCUACACACUAAGUUUUUGCUGAAAAUAUUUAAUUUAAAGCAAGAAUGAACAUUUAAAUGCCCAGCAAGUAUAAUAAUUGCAUAUAAAAUAACAAAACCAAGAGUCAUGCUUUCAUAAUUCUAAACUUUCAAUAACUGAACAAAAGUUUUGAAGAGAUCUCAAAUAAUGGGAAAUUACUUCCUUUGUUUUCAAAACAUAUUUUUGAAACAAUGUACUGACUUUAGCUGAGCGGUUAUAAGACCUCGAACUUUCAUUUUCAUCCUAAAAGGUUUUGAACAACUAUUCCUCUAUAACCCGUCAUAGCUUAUAGGCACGUUGGGUGAUCAGCCCUUUGUACCCUGUAUUGAUCAAUACUACAUGGCGAACGACUGACUUUGCAUUCUUCCGUCACUCGACAUUACAUGUCGAUAAUAUAAAAUAUUUCCCCCAAUAUUAGGGUUGUUCAUUCUCAGACUGAAUCUGUACUAAGUAGAAAUUUGUUUUUGUAACUUAAACUCAAUAACAAUUCGAAAGAUCGUAUCUAGAUCAUUGAAAAGUUUUAACAUGUGUCUAGCCAAUACAAAUGGCAUUGACAUACCUCUUAAAAAGUUUGUGCAUAUUAGAAUUUUGAAAACUUGAACAAUUCAUAGAAAGCUUAACAAUCUAUGCACUAUGGCAUAACUAAACACAUAUACAACCACCAAAGAGUUUGUAUAAGUCUGAAGUAUACACAAUCGUUAAACAUUGUGGAAACCGAAGCACGCAUAAAUAUUAUUAAUAAAAAUAUACAUCCACAUACUUUAAACCAACAUUCAAAUGAAGAUUAAAUGGAGUUAGAAUACCUGCCUUAGGAAUCUUUAAUACUUUAGUGUUAAUCUCCCUUCGUAAGUCCUACACAUUCAGUGCAUAUAAACAUACCCCAAUUAGCCACGUAUAAACAUCCCUCACGGUUUACAUUAACUCCUUUUUUAACAUACUACAUAUGAAUCAUUAAAUUCAAAAUAUUCAUUAAGUUUAUUAUCAUUCGUUAUGGCUUUCUGACGUCUACACGUUGUAGACACCCGAAAUUUUGUUUUCCUUUUACUAACCUUGCAGGAAGGCAAAAGUGUAAUUUCACCUCAGAGACAACCCCGCAGAAAGGCAAAUACAUAACUCCACUCUAAAAAUAACCCUGUGGAAGGGCAAAAGUGGUAAUUUGCCCCUACCAUGACAUGAUUCGAGCGAGAAUCACAAAGUUGAGGAUAAGGACAUAAGAAGCCAGUACAACAAUUCCGAGACGCAAACUACCCAAGAUGAGCCAUAUGACCACACUCGGAUACCGGAAGAUAAUUAUUGACUUGUUGCUCCAUCUUCCCGGACCCAGAAUGGACUAGACUUGAUGUCAUUGUGUAGCACUCAGAAGAAGUUUUUCGGGAUAGUAAGGCACAUCUCCCAACUUUCCCUGAUUGAAAGAUACGGGCGACCGAAGGAACGGACUUCGAGAUUGUGGGACCCACAGGGCCCAGUCACAGGUGCAACUACGACUAGCUAUAUGUAUACCUACGGCUGGCCACGAGACCUAUAUCAGAGCAUCAACAUCUCAUUUCCAAAAGAGAGAGCUUGUUAUAGAGAGAGAAAGUAGGAUUUCUAGAGAGAGGGGCUCAUAUUUAGCAUAAAACAUCCUUAGAUUCAAGUGAGAGCUAGCAUUAUAUAGUUAGAUCUUAUGUUUAUAUAUAUAGUGAUAUUGUGAGACCCC